GGAACACAGGCCAUUUCCUCAACAACACUUGAGCGUGAAAGCACGUCUCUGCUGCCGAGGAACAGAAGAUGACGAGUUGAUACCGAGGUGAUGCAGAGACAGAGCUCGGCUCGACCAGGACGACGUCUCGGCCAAACCCCCGCCGUGUCUCCUGAGCCCGCCCACAGCCGAUCAAUAUGACUGGAGCUGGAGAAACAGGUAGUUUCUUCCUCGUUGAAGAAGCACGGAAUCCGGAGAGACAACUGGAUUGCAAUGGACUUAGAGAGCCAACUUUUCUGAAAACAUAUGUGGGAAGUCACUUAUUUAGUGAUAAGGAGUGAACAAUUUUUCACCCGUCUGGAUAUGGAGUUAUGUUUUUUUAUAUAUAUGAAUUUGUUGUUGUCAAGUAUGCUAUAACGUUCUGUAAAUUCACCCGAGUGUGGAGCAUAUGUGAGUAUGUCAGAUGUGGAUUAAUGAACAUUAAUACACGCGUGUCUAAUUUUUCUUGUCUGUUUAUAUCAUGCUCAGCCUAUGUGGGGAAAAAAUAUCAUUGAUUAUUGUCAUUGACUGGUCUUUUUAUGUGAAAUUUUGACUAUAAAAAUUAAUAGGCAACAUGGAUUUAAAACUGUAAAAAGGCACGUUCAUAUAUCAGACUUUUUGCUAUAAUUACUAAUUCUUGAAACUGAACAGUUAAAAUGUCAUACAGGCUUUACAUCACAUGCCGUGUUUCCUUUGUGUACAAUAUGUGUUUUAACAUAAAUAAUUGACUAUUUUUUUAGGCUUCCUUUAAAUUUACGGUAAAACUGUGGUUGCCGCGUUUAUAAUAUGUAGGCUACAUUAUGUACAUUAUUUUCGCGCUUUGUGUUUGUGGAACAGGGUUUCACUGUUUAUCUUCUCCCCUAAAUACCGGAAGGUCAGUCAGUAAUAUCUAUUUUGUUUAUGCACUGUUUGUACAUUUUUGGAGACUGUAUCUGGUGAAUCAAGUUUCGUUUUCAAAUGCGCAAGCAUUUUACCGUCAAAAAGUCAGGGGAAGGGGAGCCGCAAACUUAAAACCGCGUCUCAAUGGAAAGAAAAAUAAAUUAGAGAACUGUAUGUUAGAAAAAAAAAUAAUGGAGAUGCCCGUGUCUUUGUAAAUGAGUAAAUCAAACAUGUUAAACCUUUAAAAAUCCGGCAUUUAUGUAUUUGUAUGUCUAUGUCAGAUUUCACUAUAAUAAACCUAAAGGAUUUCCAGAA